GGGUAUUCUCGAGUGGUUUCUCAGUCUUGAACUGGGCACGGGCCAGUAUUUACGUAGUUUGUUCCAAACUCUUGGUGAAAAUUCUUUGCAGUUUUGAAAGUGAGUCCGCUGUCUGGGGUCGCGUCAAAACUUAAGAAUUUAUCUCCCCAGGAUAAGAGAUUCAUUUAUAUAUUCAUCGACUGGAUCAGUUUCAAGAGGUCACUUGUGGAAAUUCUAUGGAUUCAACUUGCACGAUCCAGAGGAAGACUUGAGAAGAGUUAAAAUAAUUCUACUGGACAGACACGUCAAAGAAUGGUACGAAUAUAUCGGUAAGAAUACUACAAUAUCGUGUUUACUGGAAAAAUGAGGCUUGUUAGAAGAAUCUUUUCUCGUGGGAGGUGAAAACUGAACCAAAGUGAAGCAGAAUUUGGACAGCCAAGUGGAAAAAGACACCCCAAUGGGAAGGAGAUAUCCUUAAGAGAGAAGGCAAUGCAGCUGGAGUGUUCACAGACAGUGCACCAAACAAGGGUCACUGUGUUGGAAUUGGGUCUCAUUCAGUAUUAACCUGGUUAAGGUUUGUGGUUGCAACUACUAGGGAGUCAAGCCACAAGUAUAACUAACUCGUGUCUUUGCUGUACUAAGAAUAAAUGUCCUCUCCCAGCAAUGGCAAAGAAACAACAUACAACCAAACAUAGUGUCAAGGUAAUAACCCUUCAAACUACUUACUUUGUUCAUUGCAUCAACGGAGGAUGCAUGUGUCCAGAAGCAGUCGUGAACAGAGAUAAACGAGAAAUCUGCUUUCUGAGAGUAAAUGGAGGUGAGCAUCAUAUGGGACGAA